rnacentral:rRNA from 1 species
UACGUAGGGUGCAAGCGUUGUCCGGAAUUAUUGGGCGUAAAGAGCUCGUAGGCGGUCUGUCGCGUCGGCUGUGAAAUCCCGAGGCUCAACCUCGGGUCUGCAGUCGAUACGGGCAAACUAGAGUAUUGCAGGGGAGACUGGAAUUCCUGGUGUAGCGGUGAAAUGCGCAGAUAUCGGGAGGAACACCGGUGGCGAAGGCGGUUCUCUGGGCAGUAACUGACGCUGAGGAGCGAAAGCGUGGGGAGCGAACAGG